UAAUGGAUCAUGAGCUGUAGUGUUUGAGAGAGAGAGAGAGAGAGAGUGUGUUUGUGUAAUUGUGAAUGGUCCAUGAUGUGUGUGUGAGGGAGGGAUGGAGCGCCAGCGCUGUGUGUUGGAGGAUUGAUUCACUCUCAGCUUCACACAGGAGGAAGGCUCAUCAGAGUGUGUGUGAUAACUCAGAUCAGUCAUGGAUCAGAAGUCCACUUCUCCUCAGAGGCAGGCAGUGAAGAGCAGGUCAAAGUCUACAGAUGAAGUCCAGCAGGCUAAAAAGGCCUUCCACAUUACCCAGAAGUCUCUGCCUGGAGGAUCAGAGCUGGAGAAGGUGAAGGAGGGAGCAGAAGACACCGUGACUCCUGCAUCCUCCACAGAAGAGCUGAAGUGAUGCUGAUGUUCAUCUGUGCUUCUCUCUCUCUCUCACACACACACACACACACAUUAGUUUUUAAAAGCAAGGUUGGUUUUCUCAUGGUUUACAUGUUUUAAAACCUUCAUAACCGCGUUCGUGUUUUACUGUCAUGCUGUUAAAAAAUAAAAUGCUAAAAUAAACACAUGCCAAAGUUGGCCAUCUAUAAUCCCUAAUAAUAGCUCCUGUACAGCAGUCUCGCAACACACCGUCACUCAAUGACACUCCAACACCCUGUCAGAAAAGUCUAGUGACUGUGAUGGAGUUUUUACAGUGUCUGCUAUAUCGUUAAUGCACAUUGAUGAAUAUGGCCACUGCAAAGGCACAGUUCAGAUCGUUAUGAGAAUAUAAUAUAUGCCUUCAGUGAUUUCCUGAAGAUAAACACCAAAAUAACGCUGCUGGAAUCACUACGCCAGCCGUGAUGAAUGGUCUGAUCUCAUAUGAAUUAAGAGAUGGCGAUGACGUGUGCAGGGGCUGUAGUGCUGUUCUAUUUUUUAGGGGUAAAUCUUGAAGCCAUUCACACUCGGUUUCAAGGGUAAGGGGUAGGGCUACAUAAAACGAAUUGGGAUUGGGCCUUAUUUUUCUGUUAUUUGUCAUUUCAAUUUUAA